rnacentral:rRNA from 1 species
CGGAGAGUUUGAUCCUGGCUCAGGACGAACGCUGGCGGCGUGCUUAACACAUGCAAGUCGAACGCUGAAGCCCAGCUUGCUGGGUGGAUGAGUGGCGAACGGGUGAGUAACACGUGAGUAACCUGCCCCCUUCUUUGGGAUAACGCCCGGAAACGGGUGCUAAUACUGGAUAUUCACUGAUCUUCGCAUGGGGGUUGGUGGAAAGGUUUUUUCUGGUGGGGGAUGGG